AGCGAACGCUGGCGGCAUGCCUAACACAUGCAAGUCGAACGAACCUUUCGGGGUUAGUGGCGGACGGGUGCGUAACACGUGGGAACGUGCCUUUAGGUUCGGAAUAACUCAGGGAAACUUGUGCUAAUACCGAAUGUUCCCUUCGGGGGAAAGAUUUAUCGCCUUUAGAUCGGCCCGCGUCUGAUUAGCUAGUUGGUUGAGGUAAUGGCUCACCAAGGCGACGAUCAGUAGCUGGUCUGAGAGGAUGAUCAGCCACAUUGGGACUGAGACACGGCCCAAACUCCUACGGGAGGCAGCAGUGGGGAAUCUUGCGCAAUGGGCGAAAGCCUGACGCAGCCAUGCCGCGUGAAUGAUGAAGGUCUUAGGAUUGUAAAAUUCUUUCACCGGGGACGAUAAUGACGGUACCCGGAGAAGAAGCCCCGGCUAACUUCGUG
rnacentral:rRNA from 1 species